UUGUGUAUCAGUACAUGGCAUAUCAAUAAGCGGAGGAAAAGAAACUAACAAGGAUUCCCCUAGUAACGGCGAGUGAAGCGGGAAGAGCUCAAAUUUGAAAUCUUAAAGGGUUUCCCUUUACGAAUUGUAGUUUAAAGAAGUGUUUUCUGUUGGAGUUUCGGUAAAAGUUCUUUGGAAUAGGACAUCAUAGAGGGUGAGAAUCCCGUAUUUGGUCAUUCCUCCUAGCGUUGUGAUACACUUUCAACGAGUCGGAUUGUUUGGGAAUGCAGUCCAAAAUGGGUGGUAAAUUUCAUCUAAAGCUAAAUAUUGGCGAGAGACCGAUAGCGAACAAGUACCGUGAGGGAAAGAUGAAAAGAACUUUGAAAAGAGAGUUAAACAGUACGUGAAAUUGUCAAAAGGGAAGCGUUUGACACCAGUGUUGUUUAGUUGAAAAUCAAUUCAAUAGUUUUUGAUUCUAAGUAGUAUUGACUUCAUCAGCUUGCUGCUUUCUUCUCAGAAAUUAUUGAAUGCACUUUUCAGUUAACAAGUCAACAUCAAUUUCUUUUGUUGUAAAAGGGUAAGAGGAAGGUGGCUUGCGCUUCGGCUCAAGUGUUUAUAGCCUUUUAUCUCUGCAAUCGGAGAGAUUGAGGUCUGCAGCGUAGAUCCUUCGGGGUUAGAUACAUUGGUGCUAAGCUAUAGCCUUGUAUAGACAACUUGUUGACUAUGCUCAGUCAUGUAGCUUACUCGCUGAUGCUAUUUUACCUACGCUUAGGAUGUUGACAGCAGUAUAGACUGU
rnacentral:rRNA from 1 species